rnacentral:rRNA from 1 species
GGGUGAGUAACACGUAUGCAACCUGCCCCUGUCAGGGGGACAACCCGCCGAAAGGCGGGCUAAACCCGCGUACAUGCCACCGGGGCAUCCCGGAGGCAGGAAAGGCUUCGGCCGGACAGGGAUGGGCAUGCGGCGCAUUAGGCAGUAGGCGGGGUAACGGCCCACCUAACCGACGAUGCGUAGGGGUUCUGAGAGGAAGGUCCCCCACACUGGUACUGAGACACGGACCAGACUCCUACGGGAGGCAGCAGUGAGGAAUAUUGGUCAAUGGUCGGGAGACUGAACCAGUCAAGCCGCGUGAGGGAUGAAGGUACAGAGUAUCGUAAACCUCUUUUGUCAGGGAACAAAGGCGGGGACGUGUCCCCGGAUGAGUGUACCUGAAGAAAAAGCAUCGGCUAACUCCGUGCCGGCAGCCGCGGUAAUACGGAGGAUGCGAGCGUUAUCCGGAUUUAUUGGGUUUAAAGGGUGCGCAGGCGGUCUGUUAAGUCAGCGGUCAAAGCCCGGGGCUCAACCCCGGCCCGCCGUUGAAACUGGCAGUCUCGAGUUGGAGAGAAGUAUGCGGAAUGCGCGGUGUAGCGGUGAAAUGCAUAGAUAUCGCGCAGAACUCCGAUUGCGAAGGCAGCAUGCCGGCUCCACACUGACGCUGAGGCACGAAAGCGUGGGUAUCGAACAGGAUUAGAUACCCUGGUAGUCCACGCAGUAAACGAU